CCUACGGGAGGCAGCAGUGGGGAAUAUUGGACAAUGGACCAAGAGUCUGAUCCAGCAAUUCUGUGUGCACGAUGACGUUUUUCGGAAUGUAAAGUGCUUUCAGUUGGGAAGAAAAAAAUGACGGUACCAACAGAAGAAGUGACGGCUAAAUACGUGCCAGCAGCCGCGGUAAUACGUAUGUCACAAGCGUUAUCCGGAUUUAUUGGGCGUAAAGCGCGUCUAGGUGGUUAUGUAAGUCUGAUGUGAAAAUGCAGGGCUCAACUCUGUAUUGCGUUGGAAACUGUGUAACUAGAGUACUGGAGAGGUAAGCGGAACUACAAGUGUAGAGGUGAAAUUCGUAGAUAUUUGUAGGAAUGCCGAUGGGGAAGCCAGCUUACUGGACAGAUACUGACGCUGAAGCGCGAAAGCGUGGGUAGCAAACAGGAUUAGAUACCCCUGUAGUC
rnacentral:rRNA from 1 species